GUACUCACUUUGGCAGCACAUAUACUAAAAGUGGAAUGAUACAGAGAAGAUUAGCAUGGCCCCUUGUAAGGAUGCCUUGCAAAUUCAUGAAACUUUCCACAUUUUU
rfam:Tupaia chinensis contig214587, whole genome shotgun sequence.